rnacentral:piRNA from 1 species
UGAUUAAACAGUGAUUGUGUGUUU